ensembl:lncRNA
GAGAGAGAGACCCGACCGCUCGCCACGCAGACAACCGAGGACGACCGGGCUGAGAGGCUGCUGAGGGCCUGCUGCCACCCGAGGGGCCCGACACGACCCCUGUGGAGAUGGAACGUAUAAGACGGAGGAUGAGCGUGACAUUACUCCAAGCAGGAUGACUGUUUUUCAUCCCCUUCCUGCCAAGUGAAAACCACGUGUCCAGAUGCGGAUGUAGAGUGUUUCUGAUAAACUGAAUAAAGAGAUAAAGGAAAUCCUCCUUCCCCUUAAAUGGAAUCAACUAUUUUAAAAAGCCUCUUAGCUGAAAACAGGCAGGUUGUUCUUUUUAGACGCUACAAACAUGGAUGAUUAGAAUAUGAAGUAUUCCUGUAGAUUAAACUGACCACAUCCUUUGCCUGGAAAAUGAGUCACGUAUGUGUUCUGCCUCUUCUUUGUCCUUGAAAACCACACAUUAACUACAGACAACCACCCCUUCUACUUAUGAAACACAUGAAAACCUUCCACCUGCCCGGGGGACUUCGUUCUGAUCCAGAGGGUUGACAGCGUCUUUACUUGAAUGAUCUCUCUCCCGUUCUCUUGUGGUCCUAAGCCACAUCGUCGUAGUCCUCUUCCCCCUCGGUUUCAUCUUCACCCCCGAUGUCGUCGUAGUCGUCCUCUGAGAAACUGUCUGCUGCUGGAUCUAGAUCUGGGUACCGUGGAAUCAGAGGGAGAGGCUCGUCCUCACCCACCGC